GCCUCGGUUCUGUAGUGGUAACACGUGUCCCUGGUAUUGAUGGAACGCGGGUUCGACUCCCGUCUGAGGCC